rnacentral:rRNA from 1 species
UACGUAGGGUGCAAGCGUUGUCCGGAUUUAUUGGGCGUAAAGAGCGCGUAGGCGGUCCGGUAAGUCCGCUCUGAAAGUCCGGGGCUCAACCCCGGGAGCGGGCGGAUACUGCCGGGCUAGAGUCCGGAAGAGGCGAGUGGAAUUCCUGGUGUAGCGGUGAAAUGCGCAGAUAUCAGAGGAACACCGGAUGGCGAAGGCAGCUCGCUGGGACGGUAACUGACGCUGAGGCGCGAAAGCGUGGGGAGCAAACAGG